CGCAAUUCUUGCCUCUUUCUAUCUUUUCUAUCGCUCGCCUUUCCUUCCCCAUCACCCCAAUCCUUAAUAGUGUCCGUCCUCCCCUUUCUUCAUCUCCCUUAUUAACAUUUGUAAUAAACUGGUCGGACCAACAUUUGAACCGUUGUUUCUUAAUCUCACGCCGGGCAUACAUAUUUCAAAGAACCUCCUCUCCCUCCUAUAAAUUGGAGCGAGACAACAUCUUAACAACAACUUUGUAUUCUUUCCGGGUUGCCCGUCCCUUCUUCCACAGGAGGUAGAUUCUCUUUUUCUCCUGGAGCCUCAAGAAUAGUUCCCUAUUCAUCCACGCCGGUCUUCCACACCGGCUCAUUUUGCAGCUCAGGGGUACAGCCUGCUCCUGCACCUUUAAGACUUCCUUCUUGAAGAGCAACCAACCAGCUUGUAUCCCUUUACUCUCUAAGACUGAACCCCAGGGGACUCUCCCUACUAAGUCUCCUGAACAAUUCAAAGUCUGCCCUCCGGAAGUCCAAGGUAGCAGUUUUGCUGUUCCCCCUCCUGACCCUGGCAAGAAGCGAGAACUCUACCGUGUCAUGGUCACCAUGAUCACCAAGUCUCAUGGUAAACUUGAAGAAGGAAAGUAAGGCUAAGGCCCCCUUAGUAUCACCUUUGUGGAGGAAGGCAGAGGCUAACAGAAGUUUGCAAGUUUGCCAACAGCAAAAUAGAGACUAGGGAGUUUGUGGGCCUGCUGUUAUUGGGGGCUGCCCCCACCUUGUAAAGUAGGGGAUGUGAGAAGGCAGAGGUGCCAGAUGCCUUCUCAGCUUCAGCGGUCACCGCUGAGAGUGCUCCUUGGGAAUAUUCGAUGGAAGGGUCUUUGAGGAAGGAUGACUUCCUCUCAAGUGCAGAGGAGUAGGUCAAAGCAUUUAGGCAAAAUCGAUACCUGCAAAUCCCUGGAUCCUAAUGAGAUAUGCGUAAGUGUGCCAAGGGAGCUGGCAGAAGUGACUGCCAGAGAGCUCUCCCUCGUGUUCUUUAUGCUCUUUCCUAUAGGCAAGGCUCCUGAGGACUCAAGGAUAGCCAGUGUCACCGCAGCCUUCAGAAAGGGUGAGAAGGAGGGCCUGCACAACUGUAGGCUGGUCAGUGUCACCUCCCUCCCUGGCAUUGGGAUGGGACAGCUUGUUCUAGAUGUCAUCUCCGAGCAACUGGAAGAGUUGUUGUUUCUAAGGAGUAGUCAGGGCGGAUUCAGCAAGAGGAAAUGAUGGACCUGGUAGCCUUCUGCAUUGUUAGCCUUCUGCAGUUGCAUUGUGACUGUCUGGUUAGAUGAGAGCAGGCCAGUGGAUGUUGUGGGGUAGAAUAUCAGUACUGUCAGUAAAUGUCUAAGUGCAGGAGUCUGGUUGAUGGGGAUGGGCUUAUUCAGACACAGAUGGGAGGUGUGUGGUGGUAGAACGGGAGUAAUGUUCACAGACUGGAACACUGGCAGCUGUAUGAACAGAAGGAAGAAUGAUUUCACUGUGAGGGUGAUGGAAUAGGCUGUGGGGUGCCCUUCUCUGGGGAUCUUCAAGUUGAGUCUGGAUGUUUUUGUUGGUGAUGUGCUGUAGGGAGGCUGCUUUCCUGAGGGACUGGGAUGAUCUGCUCACAAGGCAAGCACCACAGGAGAGCACUGAAGAUCAGCCCAAUAAAGGAGGUGAGCCCUCUGACCUGCCCACUCGGUGGCCCCUCAGAAGAGCUUUGCUGAGUUCUUCCUGCAGGUUCAGAGUGGGCAUCCCAUGGGUGUGACUCCAGCGGCUCUGUGGAGCGAGGUAACCUGAGCUACUGAGCUUUUUGCUUCACUGCAGAACCCCUUCUAUUGGAUCUUGAAUCAGAAAGCCUACUGGGGUGGAAAGGACCAGCAACUCCUAGCUCUAUGGGAGACGGCCCAUACUUAAACUGCUAUGGCUGAGAGCAGCAUCCAAAUGCUUCAUGAACUCAGCCAGUCCUGGGCUGUGACUGCUGUCUCAAGGACACCUGUUCUGAUAUCCCCCCCCCUCUUUCUGAGAAGUUUUACUUCAUCUCCAAUCCUCCACCUUAUCCGACCUAACUUCAAGCCAUUCCCAUGCUAGCUAUUGGGGAAAAGAAGCUGACCCCUACAUUGCUACAGCCUCCUUUGAGCUAAUACUAGAGAGGAAAUUUGAGCCCUUCUUUGGAUACUCCCUCAGAGCUUUAUUUCUUUAUUUUAUAUUGCAGGGCCCAGAACUGCACAUGAUAUUCAGGCUGUACCUCCCUGGAGCAGAGUGGAAUGAUCCCAUCCUUUGCUCAGCUGCUCAUGCUGGGCCUGGGUGUGGUCAGCCUUCUAGGUGACUGUGUGCACUGCUGACUUGAAUUCAACUUGCUGCCAAGUGUGGCACCUGGAUUCCUUUCCCUGGGGUAGCUCUCUGGCUUCAUUUCCCCAUCUCUAUGAGUAGCUUGGGUGGGCCAGUCUCAGGGCAGAAUCAGGUGCUGGCUGCUGCCAAACUUCAAUUGCCCACCAUGUGUGUGGACUGCUAAGUGGUAGAGACUCCUGAGGAGUCCACAGCUCCUCCUCAUUUAGUGUCCUCAGCAAAAAUACGUAGUAUGUGUUUGACUCCUGUGUCUUGAUCGUUUAUAGAAAUACCAAAGAGAACUGCCCCUUACAAGAAGCCCCUGGAAUCUGACUGCACUUGUCUACCAGCCUCUCAUGAUCUUGUUUAAUUCCAACAAAUACUUGGAGCUGCUUUUGUAUGGGACUGAGUUACUGCUUAGCUGUUUGUUUGUAUUAAAAGAGUUAGGGCUCUUCUCUGACACAGGAUUUAGUUUCUGGAUACCCUUACCUGACAAAUUUUCCUUACCUACUCAGAGAGACAAAACAUGCUUGGAACUACACCACAGGCAAAGAUGUCUCACUUUUGGACAGUUGAAGUUAAUAAAUGUAUCCCUCUAAUAGAAGAAUGGAAUAAGAUCCGUCUUAAGUCAUUAGUAAUUCGAUAGCUACUGCGUAAAGUUGGAUAUUUUCAACUGCUACAGUCCAAGUCAUUUCACUAUUCACAUUUUCCACGUAGUAAUAUUAUUGGGCUGUAUCCUACCAAUAAUGUCCAGAAUGACUGAGCAAGAAGUACAGUUUGCCACAAUAAAGCCUAAAGCUGACAAAAAAAAACCCCUUGCAUUGGUUUGUAAUGCAUUUUCUAGGCACCCUCACUCAAAAGAGAGCUUCCAGUGGACACACCAGUCUUUGUAGUGUCUUUCAAGACAAACAGAGGUUUAAACUCUCCUGACACUCACUUUAACAGGAGGGCCAGACUGUACAAGUGUAUGCCUUCAUCAGUGAAGGGAAAAAAGGAUUUCUUUUCUCAUUUUAAUUUUAUGAUAGAACAAACAAAAAAAAAGCAGUAAUUCCUAAUUCAUGUGAGCUUAGCAAUAACCAACAGCAUUUGACUGCGAGUGGUUUCCAAAAUCUGACCUUUGUUUUGUCAUUGUUUAUAUAGAGCACCAAUCCCUCAUUGCACAGCAUGAGGAAGACAUAAAACUUUUUCCACUUUCUACGCUCACUUGUGGUAAUUACAUCCAUAGUACUCUCCCUUGUGUAUCAGGUCUGGUUACCAAGCUGAGAAAAUAAAUCCCUCCCCCCCAAACCUAUACCACAAAUGUCAAACUAAGGGGAUUUUUUUUAUUUGAGAAGAAAUAAAGAAAAUAAACUGUGCAAGGACAAUAGGAGGUUUUAUAAAUUAACUUAACCAAUUUAGCCUUUCUCGGACAUCGGUAGGUUCUUAAGUACUCCUGCACAAAAAGUAGCAGCAGAAGGAGGAAAAGUAACUAAAAAAAAAAGCAAGGUUUCAGAUUUCAUCUUCAUAACUGCACCAGGACAGGCACAAUGAGAAGAUAAUCACAAAAAGAAGACUGCUCACCUGCCUCCAAAGGUCUAGGCUCACAGAACAACUCCACAAAGGAGGGAUCUGCUGGAAGAGAUCCUUCCUUGGUUGCAAUCAGCUCUUAAAUGGGGGGUCUAAGAGGGGGUAGAGCCUGGCUCCACCCCUUCCCUUCCCACAGGUGAAUUGCCUUCACCUGUGCUCCCAGGCCUGACCUGGUCUCUUUCUUCCAGGUGCUUAAUCAGUGUUCACACCCUACCUCGGCAGUUCCCUUACAGUCAUCAAAUCUUACUGCUUACAGUAUAAGCUAUUUAGACUACUGAGACACACUGGCCUUGAGAGGUCAGACAGAACUGCUUCCCAGAGGGAGGCAGAAUUUCUUGUCCUUCUCAAAAUGUUUCCCCUGAGAUGGGAUCCCACAAACUCCGCUAGCCUAACAAAAGCGCACUAGAAUGAGACAAACAAAUUCUGAGGAAGAAAACUGAGCUCACCUGUCAGUACUGCUGGGGAAGACGGACAGGCUGACAGGCUUUGUUCUUGUUCCGUUUUUAACGGUAGUCUGAUAAAGUAAGAUCAUCAGACAUAAGAGCACAUGCCUGAAGUCAUGGUCUGACUCGCUGAACCCUCGUCUCAAUUAUUUACAGUGAGAUAUGAGGUCAAGUCUGAGGUUUCACUUAGAAAAGCCCCAGGAACAAUUUGCUCAGUUCCCAGACAGGACAAUCAUCUACCUCUUAAGGGAAAUUUAAUUGCUGUAUCCUCAGGAACUAACCGGUUUCUAAGCCAUCUGACUUCUGGAUGAGAGCUUGCAAUGGUAGUACUCCAACUCAGAGUAUUUUACUUAUUCUUAAAAAAAAAAAAAGAAAAGAUUUGGGAAAAUACUCUUUUAUGCAGCCCAAAUCGUUAACACUACAGUACAUUCUGUGCUCGGAGAAGUGUCAUUUUAAUUUACCCCACACAAGACUCACACCAUUAAGAAGGCCCACCUGCAGAAGCAGACAAGAACUUCAGUAGAAUCCAUACAUAUAUAUUCUGAAAUAUUCUUGAGAAUAUUUAUUCUCAAAUCCUGAGUUAGAAAAGAGCAUAAAAUGAAUUCCUUAGGGAUGCCUUUCUGAGAGCAUGAGAGCAAUCCUGGCCCCAGCAGUAGAAACUGAGCUCAGGAGGCUGGAAAUCAGCACACGACAGAGUGAUGGCCUGUCUUGGAACUGAUGCUCUUCAAUGACCUGAAUAGUGGGACUGAGUGCAACCUUUACAUCUUUGCUGAUGGCACCGAGCAGAGUGGGGCGGUCCGUACAGUAGAAGGGAGGGAUACCAUCCAAAGGGAUCUAGACAAACCUCAAAAGUGAGCCUGCAUGAACCUAACGAGGUUCAACACAGUCCAGCAUCGCUUUUGGACCAGGGCCUUCCUAGAUACAAGCACAGACCAGCAGAAAAACCUCACUGAGAUCAGUCCUGUGGAAAAGGAUUUGAGGGUUCUGGAGGACCAGAAGCUCAAUGUGAGCCAACAACAUGCACUUAGAACCCAGAAGGCCAAUGGUAACCUGGGCUGCGUCAAGAGAGGUGCCCAGCCAUCAGGAAGAGGGAGGCGGAUCGUCCCCUCUGCUCUGCCCUCUGCCCUCACAAAGCACCAGCUGGAGUCCUGUGCCCAGGCCUGGGGGCCUUGGCACAAGAAAUAAUAAGGACCUGCUAGAGGGGGUCCAGAGGAAGGCUACAAAGAUGAGCAAAGGGCUGCAGCACCUCUCUUAUCAAGAAAAGCUAAUGGAAUUGGGUUUGUUUAUCUCAGAGAACAAAAGGCCUCAUUGGAGGCUUCUAGCAUUUGAAGGGAGAUUAUAAACAAGAGAGGGACCAGCUUCUCAUGGGGUCUAUGUAGUGCUACAACGUGAAGGAAAGUACAGCAACAAUAGCAGGGUGGCAAAAUCCUAGGCUGCAGCAAACAAGGACAAGCCCAAACACAAGAGCUGCUGCAGAUACAAAACAAAGAAAAGAAACUGCUUACCUUCAGAAAGCCUCUAGGAGAAGAGGAUCUGCAGCAAGAUACCCUCACCUCCACUGCCGACUCUUAAAUGAGGUCUGGGAAGCAGUGGAUCCUGGCUCCACACCUUCCAGUCACUCAGCUGCAUUGCGUGCACCUGAGCUCUCCUGGGUUGGGCCUGCCAUCCUGCCAGGUGCUCAAUCACUGGUUCCAGCCGUGACUUAGCAUUUCUGCUACAGCCUGAUAGUGACAGGAGAAAGCAGAAUAGCUUUAAACUACAAGAGGGGAGAUUUAGGUUAGAUAGUAGGAGGCAGGAAUUUUUUACUUGGGGUGGUGAGGCACUGGCACAGGAUGCCGGGAGAAGCCGUGACGGUCCUGUCUCUGGAAGUGUUCCAGGCCAGGUUGGAUGGGGCUCUGGGCAGCCCGAUGAGUGGGUGGCGACCCUGCCCGUGGCAGAGGUGUUUGAACUAGAUGAUCUUUAAGGUCCUUUACCACCCGAGCCACCCCAUGAUAGAAAUGGAUCAACUGCAAGCUGAGCGCUGUAAGAGAAGAUGGUUGAACAUCAGAAAAUCUCUGUACACCUGUGGUGUUUACUCAGUGAAUUUAUGGCUAACGCAGAGGUCAUGAGAGACUUAUGCCAUAAUAAAUCACAACUCAUAGAAUGGCCUGGGUUGAAAAGGACCACAAUGAUCAUCCAGUUUCAACCCCCCUGCUAUGUGCAGUGUCUCCAACCACCACACCGGGCUGCCCAGAGCCACAGAUCAUGAGUCUGCGUUGAUGCGUAUAGCUGUUGGUGUCCUCAAGGUGGACCUCAGACCAGAAUAUACCUGCAUCAUUAUCCAGUAGUUGUUGAUGGCUCUUGGUGGUCUGCUGCUAUAGCAGUGAAUGGAGAAAAGAAUUAAGCGACCCAACUUACUGAUCUGCAGUGAAAUAGUUAAUUUUUGAGAGUUUUACUACAAAUUUGUCUUGUAGCAAUGUGACUGGGAAUUAAUAAGAUUAUUGUUGAGUGGCUCAGGUUAAUGGCAUUACUUGUUUGGAUUUUAUAAAAUCCCCAUAAUUGAGAAAUGUUUGUUUAAGUCACCAUAAAAAUGUAGAUACUGAUAGUAAAAUUACAGACAGCCAAGUACAGGAUGAAAUGAAGCAAACUGACCGAACCUGUGCUUGGAGAAAAAGGCAAAUGCCAAAUUAAAUACGUUAGGCUAAUGGUUUAAAUGAUCCAAUUUACCAACAAUAAGGGUACUUUAGACCCAGGUCCUGUUUGAUUUUAUGUUAUAUGAGUGCACAGAGGAAAACAUCUGCUUGAAAGGUAGAUGGACUGAGGCCAAAAGGGAUAUGAAGGGAACGAGCAGUUUGGGCCUCUGAAUCUUUCUGUACUCAUUUCACAUAUUCCUCGUGGUUUUUAGUGAAAACUGUGCUGGAUUAAAUUACUGCUUUUGUCCCGCUGAAUUACUAUGGGAACAACAGAAAAGCAUCUAGAGCAACAAGAGGCUUUUAUGAGGCUUUGUUGAACAAAGAAGCUGCGCUGGGACAUCAGGUAACUCCGGAAGGUUUUGGUUUCAGAUGGAGCUGGCUGUGGUAAGCACAGCAAACAGGCUGAACUAACAAUUCCUGAUGCACCAGCAGCAGCAGUGCAAAUCUCUGCACAGACUUUUUGGUGCCUGUGAUGCUGAGGCAAUGUGAGGGCAGUGAAGGGGAUGCUGGAGAAGAUAACCCAGCCUGGAUAAUCUUAGAGUGAUGGUAAAGGUGGCCACUUAUCUGCAGAAGGAGCGGCGGCAUGAGGCAGGCCCUGCUCUCAUUUAUCUUCUCCUCGUGGAUCUUUUCUCUCUCUCUCCCCAUACUACAGACACAACACAGCCUUCCUCUGUUCCAUAAGAUAAAAGAUCUCCUUUCUUGGCAGCUCUCUCCUUACAGUGCAGCCACCGCGGGCUUCCCAGCAACACACUCACUUUCCGGUUCCCCAGCGCCCACAGCACCGUACCCAGGCACAGCCCCUCCUCCUCAUGUCCUACACCCCAGUCCCAGCACCCCACGGCAAGGACCACCUCUGCUUUCUGUUUCCCAUUGCUUGCUUGGCCACAGAGAAAAUAGUUUCACUACAGAAAAUCAAUACAGUUUUCCAGAAAAUCGUGUUAAUAUGAAAAUGGUGUUGGAUUGUUCUUAGCUAUGACUGUCUUGAUCGCCAUUGAUUCAUGGCUAAUAUGUCUGAUAAGCUUUAAUAUUUCUAAUUGGUUUUCGUUAUACUCAGGGAGUAAGAGGCUUUUUCAACCUGCACACUUGUACUGCUACCUCCUGUUUGUGUCUCUGUGUGAAAAGAGAUGAUCCAGAAAAUAUUCCGUGUGUCAAAGUUAUGAUUUAGAAGUAAGUUCCAUCUAAAAGUGUUCACUUUUGUUUGUCCCUUCAUUUUCUUUGAAUAUCAGCUAGUCCAUUAAGCAUAAUACCUACAGGCUUUAAAGAGCGAUUCCUCUUUGUGAAUUUCAUUUAAUAGCUGUUUCAGUCUAUGUUUGUUCAAUGCCUAUAAAUCUUCCCUUCCCACAAGCAGAAUCAAAAGAAAAGGAAGAAUUUUCUUUUUCGAGGCUGGAGAGCUUUGUUUCACAAAUGUACAGUAUGUGGCCGGAAAACUAAUGUCAAACAAGUAUGAACAAAAUUGUUCUAUGGCAUACAUCAAAAGAUUUCAGCAGUUGUUCUGAAGAGCGAAAUAACCGAAUGUGGCUGUCACACAGAAAGAGUUAUGGUACUGUAACUUCCACAAAAGAUGUCAUUUCCAAACAUCCUUGACUCUUCUUGCCAUGUAAAUGUUUUAUACCUCUUCCCUAUUUUCCUUUGGCUAUUACGCUCUCCAUCUGUUGCUGUUUACAUCUAAUACACAAAAAAUGAAUAGGUAUUAUGGGAUGCUUCAGAUUUUAUACAUGCAAAAGAUCGAUUUGGAUCCAAGGUAGGAGAAUACCCCCAUGGAAAGGUUUACGCUGGUGGGCAAAUGCCAGCAGGAGCAGCAUUUCAUCACAUGUUUGCUUCAAAGAAAGAGAAGGGGGAAAAAAAACAGCACGUAUUUAUAGCCUUGGGAAGCUUUAUGUAUUCCUGUAGGGAUGGAGUAAAGAGAAAAAGCAUGAGAAAAAGUAAAGAAGAAAGGGAACUUAAUAGGCAAAAGCACUUCAUACAGACACCUGCAUCAGCUACCAAUGUAUAAAACCAUUCUAAUACUCUCCUUCAUACAAAUGAUUCCAGACAUCAGCAGGGUUAGUCACUCCAGUUACUUGUAUAACGAAGCUCCUGCUGCAUGCACCUUAGAUGAGGAGCUGUAUGAGAUGCAUUCUCCUGAGGACUUCUGACAGAUUUACGACAGAGAGAAGGUUGUGCUUAUUGACUUGAGGGACAAAAAAUACAUAUUUAUGUUGCUGCAUAACCGUUAAUAAAAAUAUGAUCAACUGCAGCUCACGAUUUAUGCCAUGUGGAAGAUUCCAAGGGUGCAGUACUGCAAGAAAAACUGUAGCAACAUCUAAAUUUAGGGAUGUCUCAUAUUUUCUAUCAUAUUGUACAUUCCAGGCUUACAGUAUGGAUGAACUCCCUGAAGUCAGGAUGAUAUUUUCCUUGUUUAGACUAAAUUAAAAAAAUAUUAAGCAAAAUUUAAGGUUAGAGAAGGCACAUUAUUUCUCAUAAUUAAAAAAAAACCACCCCUUUAAUCGAGAAAUGAGAAAUCCUUCAUGAUUUUGAAGAAGGAACAAAAAAAGAGUUUUGUGUCUAGGCUUGCACAUGGGAAGAGAUCAUGUAUACGUUGUCAACGCAUGUGACAAAUGCUCAGUUCACACCUGCCAAACAGUGCUGGGCACUGUUGUGAGUUAAAAUUAUUCUGUGGUGAGCUAAGUGCUCACAGGGUUUGAUUUAUGGGAUGUUCCUGGAACCAAGAGAAGGAAAAGCCCAAGAGGGAGAGCAUCUCCUCUUCCUGUGGGGAGACAGGAAGACAAGCCAGGAGAGUUUGUGGCAGGAAAGGUGUCAAACUUAUAAAACAGGGCCUCGAUCCUCCCUCAGCCAGAAGGAAACAAACCAUAGUAGAGGAGCCAGAGUGAAAGGAAAGAGCUGGUGAUGUGGCAUGAAGCCCCAGAGGGUGCUGAAGGGACAACUGAAGCUACAGAGAACUCACAGACAUAACAGCCUUAUAACACACUAAACAUGUUACCAAACAUUUGCUUUGAGGCCAAAGCAAAAUAACAUCUCUCUCCAAGAACUCUCGCUCUAUAAUGGGAUCUGUUUGAAGUGUUUGUAAAAUAACACUGAAAAUGCUCCGAAGUUUUUCUGCUACCAAAUUGAAGCUUGGGGAUUUAGAGUCACAGCCUAUUAAAAUUCUGUUUAGCAUGCACAUUUUAACACAGAUGCUUCAAUAAAAGGGGUUUCUGUGUAAUUACCUAAUGACUUGCUAUGUCAGUCACGAUAGGUCCCACAUUUGUGCCUCUCUCCUGAGAAUUAAACAGAAAAUAAAUACACAAGUUCUUCCCUGCUGCCUUUCCAAUUUGGGCUGAAAGCACUGAAUAGUUUAUGGAUGUCCCUGAUGCGAUUUGUGUUGCUGAGAAAUCAAAUCCUAUAAGACGUAAAAGUAGGCAAAAAUAUGUGUUUUUUUCUUUUAAUUGAAUGAAAAAUGUUCUUCUAUGAUGGGUGAGAAUAUACUGAACCUUAUUUUCAAUUUUAAUGCAUUCCUCUGUCACUCUACUCCCAAGUAUUUUCAUCCUAAGGGCUAAGAAGGGUUACAGAUCUGCCGAUGUUGGAAUGUCAUGCCUGAAUACGGUUUGAUUGAGCAAUGAGAUAUUUUCCCAAGAUGCAUCCUGGUGUGAACAAGUGUUUCCAAAAAGCUUGCAGCCAUGUGGACGUCUGUUAAGAAGACAGUAAGUUGGUCAUGCAGCACCCAACUGGAGACAGCCCAAAUGAGGAGAUGCAACACCAGGAGUCCAGAACAGCGGUGCUCGAGCCAGCUCAGCCAGGAGGCAUGCUAAAAGCUUUAGGAAGCCACAUAGAGACAGAAUCAGCCAAAAGAGGAGAUUCCUCUGACUUCAGCAUCCCGUGGUACGUGCCAGACACUGGACAGCAAGUCACUUUGGAUGCUGCUUCCACUGCAGUGCUUGGAGAUCCCUAACUGGGACCUGGACCUCCUGCCAAAAGGUCAAGCUCAGCCCUCGGGGCCCCAACUGUACCCCAAACCUAUGGAGCUGCGCUGCCGGCUGGAGAGCUGCGGGCACUGCCAGGACUGCGAGGAACAGCACCCGUGUGGUUUACUGCUGUAUGGCAGCUCCAUCCGUCACACUGUCUGUUACUGCGUACAGCUGCCAGUUGUAACUAAGGCAGUAAGAGGAGGCUGUGUCAGCAUUACCGCUGGGGGUAGCACAGGGGCUUUUUCCUCACAGCAAGAAAAGAUUUCUGCAGGCAAUCACGGUAUUGUCUGAAAAACGUCUAAACAUCAAGAGUUCUGAGUAUAAGAGCAACUGGAUUUAAACACUGUUCCCAAGAGCAACCCUUACAGACUCCCAAAGAAGCAGAUUUACAACAAGGACUGGAGAACAACUCAGUUAUCCAGACUUCCUCUCCCAGCUUCUUCCAUGUACUUUCACACCAGUAACCAGGGGCCCAUUGUCAAAAGAGUUCCCUCUCUCCUCUUCCCACACAAACAAAGCUCGGGUGUCUGGCUGUGCUGCACUGCCCAGUGCCUGCUCCUGCCUCACACUGACAGCAUCCCAAGAUGUCUCUGCUGACAUCUGGACUUAGUUACUAUUGCACUGCAAUAUCAGAACGUGCACGAAUGAGUGACAAAGUAUUUCAAUGAGUACAAAGGUGCAUAAGUGGAAACUUAGAGAAAGAAGAAAGGUAGCAUUCAUGUGACUCUUCAACCAAAAACUAAAUGAAAAGCGUGCCCGCAAAGCCUUAGAAAAAUUGCAGCACAGACCAGAAAAAUAACAUUUUGCUUUGUUUACCAAACAUUUCAGAGUUAUCCAGGUACCAGGACCGCUCCCUUUGCAUAAAAAGCACAUUAGCAGGGAAGCUUGCUGCUACUGUGCUGUUGCAACACACACACUAAUCGGGCUGUCCAUCUUCCCCAGGAGCUGCUGCUUUGAAGGAAACUACACAAAGUGCUUAGGGAAUUUGCCAUUCAGCAGUUCCCUCAAGAUCUGCGUCCAUCUUUCACUGAUUAAUAUUGAAGCAUUAAUCAGAUGUUUCUACGUUUCCAUGCUCCCACCAGCUACACGUGUGCAAGCCAAGAGGUGGAGACAGCAAUUCUUCACUGGGAAUAUUGGUAAAACAAGGCUUGCAUUUAGGGGAUUCAGACUGGUAAAGACAGUUUCUUAAGCUGACAUUUAAGAAUCACUGACUUUCAAAUACCACAUUAGCAAUCAAGAAAUCAACAGUGUUUAGAAGAAAUGUAAUUAGCUCAGCAUGCUCUGCUUGAAACCAGUGCUGUAGCUAUCAGCUGCAACAAAUGCUAAAAUGCAGAAUUUGUUUUUCCAUUGAAGUACAUUACAAUUUACUUUAAUAAAGGCAUGAGAGCUUGAGA
ensembl:lncRNA